AGAGUUUGAUCAUGGCUCAGAGCGAACGCUGGCGGCGUGCUUAACACAUGCAAGUCGAGUGCGCAGUUCCCGCAAGGGGAUGGGCGCACGGCGCACGGGUGCGUAACACGUGGGCAACCUGCCCUUGGAUGGGGAAUAACUCCGCGAAAGCGGAGCUAAUACCGCAUAACACUCCGGGAACCGUGGUUACCGGAAUCAAAGCCGUAAGGCGUCCGAGGAGGGGCCCGCGCCCGAUUAGGUAGUUGGUGAGGUAACGGCUCACCAAGCCAAUGAUCGGUAGCCGGUCUGAGAGGAUGGCCGGCCACACUGGAACUGAGACACGGUCCAGACUCCUACGGGAGGCAGCAGUGGGGAAUCUUGCGCAAUGGGCGAAAGCCUGACGCAGCGACGCCGCGUGGGGGAUGAAGCUUCUCGGAGUGUAAACCCCUUUCGACCGGGACGAAACGCCCGCAAGGGAAUUGACGGUACCGGUAGAAGAAGCCCCGGCUAACUACGUGCCAGCAGCCGCGGUAAGACGUAGGGGGCCAGCGUUGCUCGGAAUAACUGGGCGUAAAGGGUCUGUAGGCGGUGUGGCAAGUCGGGAGUGAAAUCUCUGGGCUUAACUCAGGGGCUGCUUCCGAAACUGCCGUGCUCGAGUGCGAGAGAGGUGAGUGGAAUUGCAGGUGUAGCGGUGAAAUGCGUAGAUAUCUGCAGGAACACCCGUGGCGAAGGCGGCUCACUGGAUCGCAACUGACGCUGAGAGACGAAAGCUAGGGGAGCAAACAGGAUUAGAUACCCUGGUAGUCCUAGCCCUAAACGAUCAGAACUUGGGGUGCAUCCCGUUGGGGGUGCGUCCCGUAGCUAACGCGUUAAGUUCUGCGCCUGGGGAGUACGGUCGCAGACUGAAACUCAAGGAAUUGACGGGGCCCGCACAAGCGGUGGAACAUGUGUUCAAUUCGACGCAACGCGAAGAACCUUACCUAGGCUUGAACUGCACCGGACAAGGU
rnacentral:rRNA from 1 species